rnacentral:lncRNA from 1 species
GAGCUUUGUUAAUGCAUUUUAAAAUGAUGCAUGCAGGGUUUAAAUUUGACAUUAUAAAUAUCCUUAGGACAUCUGGUUUAUUUAGCUGUUUUUUUCUUCUUGUAUAUUUGAUUCACAAUGCAGGUCAUUUUGUCCCUAAUAUUUUUGUUUCAGUGGUUUGAUUUACUUAUGAUGGUCAAAUUUACAUUGAAGUUAGCAGGGAACAUUGUCCAUUGUGAUGUUUUGCCAGACCUCAUGGACUCAAACUUGAAGAAAAAUUGUUAGAAGAGGUGCUGAUCGUGACGGAUGUUUUCUUUAGUAGAUGUUUGUUAGUCAGCAGUGGUUUUUAUUCUCAGUCUCGCCACAGCCAAUUUUUCCUUGUGACGACACAAUGACAGAAAAACAAAUUUAUGUGUUGGUUAUUUUUGUAACCUGGCUUGUGAAGACCUGAAACCCCAAACUGCGUCAGCAUAUGACCUCAGUUUCCUUUUUUUCUCACAGAAAACCCAGUAGGUGUAUUAAAAUAUACUGUGAAUACAUGGAUUAGUGUCUGUGUUUGAUGAAGCAGCAUCACACUCUUCUGCAGGGAUUGGGCUCUUCUGGAAACUGGACUUUGGAGAAAUUAUGCUGAUCUUUGGACUGAUGCUGCUGCUGCAAACUGCUGCAUGUCUGGAUCGGUUCUGCAGGUUUAAUCAGUCUGAUAUCUGUUACGCAGCUCUGGGACACAAACUCAAUCUGCUGAUGGUGCGGGACGCUAGUAAAUAUGACACGACGAUACAAAAGAGAAUAAACAAAAACAAAACAAGUGAUCCAGUUUGUAGAGUAAAGAAUGGCAGGAUGCGGGAGAAAGAAUGUGAUCUUUAUAGUAACAGACCUGAAGUUGCAGUCAUUAAUGGGACUCUGAUAAUAAACCGUGUGAUCAGAGCAGAUUCAGGGAGUUACACAGUAACUUUAACUCCCUCAGAAGGCUCAGACACAUCUACAGAUCUUCAAGUGAAUGUUGAAGGUACAGAAACCCUCUCCUCAGACUCAUUACAGUCUCAUGUUCUCCAAAGAUCUCACUCUCUCAAAUUAAUCAGUUGAAUCCCUGUGAAGGAUUUUUAUUCAUGCUCAAGCUCAUUAUUGUACACUGCCUGACUUUUUAAAAAAAAAAAAAUAUAAUGUGAAAACAAUUUAAACAGUCAUUUGAUAAAUUGUUGUCACAUGACUAACCUACUGUACGCUGCAUGUUUAAUUCAGUCCAGCUUUCACCUCAGCAGUACAUUUUGUUUAGAAAUGUCUUGACAUUGACUCAUACUGAGUCGAGAAGGAGUUGUGUGACGGUCACGUGUCCCUCCCUUCAGCUCCUGUUGGCUCAGUGGAAGUGUCCAUCAGCUGCUCCUCCAGUGGAGUGAAGAGGGUGUCCUGCUCCUCUGAGGGCGAGCAGAUCCUCUACAGCUGGAGUCUGAAUGGAGGUCCACUGAUGGAUGGAAACUCCAGCUUUGAUCUGAAUGAGGGAACUGAUGGCAUUUUAAACAGUCAUUUGAUAAAUUGUUGUCACAUGACUAACCUACUGUACGCUGCAUGUUUAAUUCAGUCCAGCUUUCACCUCAGCAGUACAUUUGUUUAGAAAUGUCUUGACAUUGACUCAUACUGAGUCGAGAAGGAGUUGUGUGACGGUCACGUGUCCCUCCCUUCAGCUCCUGUUGGCUCAGUGGAAGUGUCCAUCAGCUGCUCCUCCAGUGGAGUGAAGAGGGUGUCCUGCUCCUCUGAGGGCGAGCAGAUCCUCUACAGCUGGAGUCUGAAUGGAGGUCCACUGAUGGAUGGAAACUCCAGCUUUGAUCUGAAUGAGGGAACUGAUGGAAACAUCAGCUGCAGUGUGAAGAACCACGUCAGUCACGGACAGAAGACCGUUAGUGUCAAACCCUGUCCUGGUGAGCGUUAAAUACAUGAAUGUCCACAUAUUCAUAAAAACCACAGCGACACCAAUGAUGGAAAACAAUCAGUUCUCCUAAUUGGGCUCUUAAUUCUUGAAAAGCGUCAUUAGUUUCAUGACCACAACAGUGAAUUGUGUUGAUGUGGUUCAGAGAGAGAAAGCAGGUUAUUCUGCACUGAUGUUUUAUUACAGGACCAACUACUUCAUCUGUGACCUCUAGUUUGACCUCUGCAGUGACCAGCACACAGACAUCCGAAUGUGAUUCGAGUUUAACUAAACAUACUUUUGGAAACAUGAAGGAUGGGUUCUGAUUUCUGUCUGAUUGUUGUUUUCAGGGUCUGUGUUUGUGCUGGUCUGGUGUUUUCAGCUGAUGGUUCUUUUGGGUUUGUUAGGAGGGUUUCACAUCUACAUGGGACACACGUCAGGUGAGAGACAUUUAUUAUCACCAUUAUGGAUUUGACAUGCAAAUAUUAAGAGUGUGAAGGUGAUGAUAUUGUGAUGCUAUUAGGAAAAAGUCAGGAAGAUUAUGAGAAUGAGAAGAUUUAGAGAACGACAUGAACACACAGCAGAAGAAUCAUGAGACCAGCAGCAGAUCAUCACAUCUAUGAGAAAUGACUUCAUAAUGUCACAGAUUCUCUCAUGAAUCCAGCUUUCACCUGUCGACAGCACGAGAUCCUACAGAAUAAGCCAGGAGACAUUUUCUACAGGUUUAGGUCUUCCUACUAGAAUUAAGCCUAGGUAGUACUAUUUUCUUACUAGGUUUAGGUUCUUUCUUUAAUUUAGUAUUUUUUUAAAUAAAUUUUUAAAUUUAGAAUUUUUUUUUUUUUUGUUAAAUUUUUGGUUGCUUAUUAUUCAUUUGUCUUUAUGCUUUGAAUGAACUAGCAAUAUUUUAUACCAUUACUUGAAACCUCUUCUGUUCAUGCAUGAUAUUUAUCUCUCUAAAUCAGAUCUGGCAGAUUGUGAAGUCAUUCUGUGUGUUUAUUUUCCAUAUCUUCUAGAAAUGGGUUUAUUUCACAUUCCUGCUCUUGCUCUUAUACUUUAUUCUGUUGAUUUUGGUGGAUUUAUUUUAUAAUACAAUGUCUCUUGUUUUGUGUUUGAUCUGUUUAAAGCUCUUGAUCCAUCAUCCGUGUCUCAGUUUUGGGGUGUCUGGUGUUUUCUGACUGUGUUUUUAAACUUUUGUUUACAUGUGCAGUUUUUUACCUGUUUAACCACAUUUGUGCAUUUUUCUUCAUAAGAUCUUUGUGUCAUUAUAGAAUAUUGAUAAACAUGUUCUUCUUUAAGAAUUAUAAAUGGAGUCAAUGCUGUAUUUGUUAUUUUUCUGAGUUAAAUUAAAAUAAAACUUUGAAAUUAAACUUUUUUUGCAGUCUCAAGCUCAUUCAUUUUGUUAAAUAGUCAAAAUAGUUAUAGAAAGCACACAUCAG